rfam:Gongylonema pulchrum genome assembly, scaffold: GPTH_contig0018638
AAAACGGAUUUUCAUAAAUCCACAAAUCAUUAACAAAAAGAUAUUA